rnacentral:ncRNA from 2 species
ACCCUGUUGAGCUUGACUCUAG